AGUGAACGCUGGCGGUAGGCCUAACACAUGCGAGUCGAACGGCAGCACAGUAAGAGCUUGCUCCUACGGGUGGCGAGUGGCGGACGGGUGAGGAAUACAUCGGAAUCUACUUUUUCGUGGGGGAUAACGUAGGGAAACUUACGCUAAUACCGCAUACGACCUACGGGUGAAAGCAGGGGAUCUUCGGACCUUGCGCGAUUGAAUGAGCCGAUGUCGGAUUAGCUAGUUGGCGGGGUAAAGGCCCACCAAGGCGACGAUCCGUAGCUGGUCUGAGAGGAUGAUCAGCCACACUGGAACUGAGACACGGUCCAGACUCCUACGGGAGGCAGCAGUGGGGAAUAUUGGACAAUGGGCGCAAGCCUGAUCCAGCCAUACCGCGUGGGUGAAGAAGGCCUUCGGGUUGUAAAGCCCUUUUGUUGGGAAAGAAAAGCAGCAGGUUAAUACCCCGCUGUUCUGACGGUACCCAAAGAAUAAGCACCGGCUAACUUCGUG
rnacentral:rRNA from 1 species